rnacentral:sRNA from 1 species
AUUUUAUUAAAAAUUCUUUCUAAUGCUCUUUUCACGAUGCCCCUUUUCAACUCUACCUUUUUUUAGCCAUUUUUAUUUCUACCCUCUUUAAAUUUUAAUUGACCAUUUUACCCCUAUUUGAAAAUUGUUUUAGGUUAACAAAAUAAAAUAUUAAUAUUCUUUACCUAAAAUAUUCCAAAAUAAAUUUUUCGACAAAAUUUUCACGCCAAAAAAAUUUCGAAAAAAUUCCCCCCAAAAAUUCCCGCCAAAAUUAUUUUUGGCGGGAAAUAGAUUUAAAAGAGAUUUUAAAAGGGCUUUAAAAGAUUUACAAGGAAUUUUUAAAGGGUUUUAAAAUAUUUACAAGGGAUUUUAAAAGUGUUUUAAAAGAUUUACAAAGGAUUUUAAAAGAGUUUUAAAAGAUUUACAAGGGAUUUUAAAAGACUUUAAUAGAUUUACAAAGGUUUUUUAAAGAUUUUUAAAGGGUUUAAAAUUGUUUUGACAGGGGUUUAAAAUUGUUUUAAAAGAGUUUUAAAAUUGUUUUAAAAGAGUUUUAAAAUUGUUUUAAAACCCUUUUAAAAUUCAUUAUAAAUCUUUUAAAACCCUUUUAAAAUCCCUUGUAAAUCUAUUUUCCGCCAAAAAAAAUUUACAAGGAUUUUUAAAACUAUUUUUUU